AGUGAACGCUGGCGGUAGGCCUAACACAUGCAAGUCGAACGGCAGCACAGUAAGAGCUUGCUCUUACGGGUGGCGAGUGGCGGACGGGUGAGGAAUACAUCGGAAUCUACUUUUUCGUGGGGGAUAACGUAGGGAAACUUACGCUAAUACCGCAUACGACCUACGGGUGAAAGCAGGGGAUCUUCGGACCUUGCGCGAUUGAAUGAGCCGAUGUCGGAUUAGCUAGUUGGCGGGGUAAAGGCCCACCAAGGCGACGAUCCGUAGCUGGUCUGAGAGGAUAGUCAGCCACACUGGGACUGAGACACGGUCCAGACUCCUACGGGAGGCAGCAGUGGGGAAUAUUGGACAAUGGGCGCAAGCCUGAUCCAGCCAUACCGCGUGGGUGAAGAAGGCCUUCGGGUUGUAAAGCCCUUUUGUUGGGAAAGAAAAGCAGCAGGUUAAUACCCAGCUGUUCUGACGGUACCCAAAGAAUAAGCACCGGCUAACUUCGUG
rnacentral:rRNA from 1 species